rnacentral:lncRNA from 1 species
CUCGUGCAGACCAGGAGCGUUGUGCCAUGCAGUUUAGGCUCGUGCAGGCGAGGAGCUUUGGUUCGUGCAGUUUAGGCUCGUGCGAACAAGGAGCAUUUGGUGCCGUGUUGCAGUUUCAGCUCGUGCAGGCAAGGAGCUUUGGGUUGUCGCAUUUUAUGCUCGUGCAGACCAGGAGCGUUGGUGUUGCCUUUUAUGCUCGUGCAGACCAGGAGCAUUGUGCCAUGCAAUUUAGGCUCGUGUAGGCGAGGAGCUUUGGUUCAUGCAGUUUUAGGCUCGUGCGAACAAGGAGCAUUGUGUCCUACAGUUUAG